rnacentral:rRNA from 1 species
AGCGAACGCUGGCGGCAGGCCUAACACAUGCAAGUCGAACGAACUCUUCGGAGUUAGUGGCGGACGGGUGAGUAACACGUGGGAACGUUCCUUUAGGUUCGGAAUAACUCAGGGAAACUUGUGCUAAUACCGAAUGUGCCCUUCGGGGGAAAGAUUUAUCGCCUUUAGAGCGGCCCGCGUCUGAUUAGCUAGUUGGUGAGGUAAAGGCUCACCAAGGCGACGAUCAGUAGCUGGUCUGAGAGGAUGAUCAGCCACAUUGGGACUGAGACACGGCCCAAAAUCCUACGGGAGGCAGCAGUGGGGAAUCUUGCGCAAUGGGCGAAAGCCUGACGCAGCCAUGCCGCGUGAAUGAUGAAGGUCUUAGGAUUGUAAAAUUCUUUCAACGGGGACGAUAAUGACGGUACCCGGAGAAGAAGCCCCGGCUAACUUCGUG